UACGAGGGGGGCAAGCGUUGUUCGGAAUUAUUGGGCGUAAAGGGCGCGUAGGCGGCGCCACAAGUCACUUGUGAAAACUCUGGGCUCAACUCAGAGCCUGCAAGCGAAACUGUGGUGCUGGAGUAUGGGAGAGGUGCGUGGAAUUCCCGGUGUAGCGGUGAAAUGCGUAGAUAUCUGGAGGAACACCGGUGGCGAAGGCGGCAUCCUGGACCGACACUGACGCUGAGGAGCGAAAGCCAGGGGAGCAAACGGG
rnacentral:rRNA from 1 species